AAUUAUGGCAGACUAUGAGAUAGCUAUACACAAUGCUGUGAGAACUGUAUUGGCCAGCAACAUUCAUAUCCAGGGAUGUUUUUACCAUCUAACCCAAGCUACUUGGAGAAGAGUGCAAGCAGAGGGUCUUCAGUCUGACUACAACAAUGAUGAUGAUGUGAAAUCCUUCUGCGGAAAGCUUGACGGUCUGGCGUUUCUUCCAUGCAGCGAUGUGCAAGAAGGCUUGACGUUACUACGUGAACAGGCCCCAGAUCAUCUACAGUGUCUGGUUGAGUAUUUUGACUCCAACUAUGUAAAUGGAUCCUUUCGCGCAGUCAUCACUGCUAAUGGAAAUAUGAGGUUCCGACGCUCCUCUCCAAGAUUUCCUCCACCAAUUUGGAAUGUGCACAGUGCCACAAUGACUGACCAGGAUAGAACAAAUAACCAGUGUGAAUAUUGGAACAAUGGGUUUAAGCACCUUGUUGGACAUUCAAAUCCUUCACUUUGGACAGUUGUGCAAUGUGUUGAAAAGGAUGCAAAAAAUGGUGGCAGCUGAAAUUCUGAGAUGUAAUCGUGGUGAACUUCUACAGAAACGAGUGAAGAAGGCCACUAAAGCUCACCAGCAGAGACUGAAAGUUUUGUGCUCACAGUACGCAAGUGGCAUUAAAUCCCUUGAAGACUUCUUGGGUGCUCUGGGACAGAUUAUCAGAAUAAAAUAAUGUCGGUGCUAUGUAAAUUCUGUGAAUGUGCUAACAUAUGUAAAAUGUGCUGUCAGAAAAUAAAUAAGAGUGAAAUAUUA